rnacentral:rRNA from 1 species
UACGUAGGGUGCAGGCGUUAAUCGGAAUUACUGGGCGUAAAGCGUGCGCAGGCGGUUUCUUAAGUCAGAUGUGAAAGCCCCGGGCUUAACCUGGGAACUGCGUUUGAAACUGGGGGACUUGAGUGUGGCAGAGGGGGGUGGAAUUCCACGUGUAGCAGUGAAAUGCGUAGAGAUGUGGAGGAACACCAGUGGCGAAGGCGACUCUCUGGUCUGUAACUGACGCUGAGGCGCGAAAGCGUGGGGAGCAAACAGG